GAUGAACGCUGGCGGCGUGCCUAAUACAUGCAAGUCGAGCGAACAGAUGAGGAGCUUGCUCCUCUGACGUUAGCGGCGGACGGGUGAGUAACACGUGGAUAACCUACCUAUAAGACUGGGAUAACUUCGGGAAACCGGAGCUAAUACCGGAUAAUAUAUUGAACCGCAUGGUUCAAUAGUGAAAGACGGUUUUGCUGUCACUUAUAGAUGGAUCCGCGCCGCAUUAGCUAGUUGGUAAGGUAACGGCUUACCAAGGCAACGAUGCGUAGCCGACCUGAGAGGGUGAUCGGCCACACUGGAACUGAGACACGGUCCAGACGCCUGCGGGAGGCAGCAGUAGGGAAUCUGCCGCAGUGGGCGAAAGCCUGACGGAGCAAGGCCGCGUGAGUGAUGAAGGUCUUCGGAGCGUAAAACUCUGUUAUUAGGGAAGAACAAAUGUGUAAGUAACUAUGCACGUCUUGACGGUACCUAAUCAGAAAGCCACGGCUAACUACGUG
rnacentral:rRNA from 1 species